rnacentral:tRNA from 1 species
UCCCUGGUGGCUCAGUGGUAAAGAAUCCGUCUGUAACGCAGGAGACCCAGGUUCAAUCCCUGGGUCGGGAA